ACCUACGGGGCGCAGCAGUGGGGAAUAUUGCGCAGUGGGCGAAAGCCUGACGCAGCGACGCCGCGUGAGGGAUGAAGGUCUUCGGAUCGAAAACCUCUGUCAGCAGGGAAGAACGGUCACUUUGCUAAUCAGCAGUGAAUUGACGGUACCUGCAAAGGAAGCACCGGCUAACUCCGUGCCAGCAGCCGCGGUAAUACGGAGGGAGCGAGCGUUAAUCGGAAUUACUGUACGUAAAGCGCUCG
rnacentral:rRNA from 1 species